CCUACGGGAGGCAGCAGUGGGGAAUUUUGGACAAUGGGCGCAAGCCUGAUCCAGCCAUUCCGCGUGAGUGAAGAAGGCCUUCGGGUUGUAAAGCUCUUUCGCAAGGGAAGAAAACUUACACAAUAACACUGUGUGAGGCUGACGGUACCUUGAUAAGAAGCACCGGCUAACUACGUGCCAGCAGCCGCGGUAAUACGUAGGGUGCGAGCGUUAAUCGGAAUUACUGGGCGUAAAGCGUGCGCAGGCGGUUUUGUAAGUCAGAUGUGAAAUCCCCGAGCUCAACUUGGGAACUGCGUUUGAAACUACAAGACUAGAAUAUGUCAGAGGGGGGUAGAAUUCCACGUGUAGCAGUGAAAUGCGUAGAGAUGUGGAGGAAUACCAAUGGCGAAGGCAGCCCCCUGGGAUAAUAUUGACGCUCAUGCACGAAAGCGUGGGGAGCAAACAGGAUUAGAUACCCUGGUAGUCCACGCCCUAAACGAUGUCUACUAGUUGUUGGUGGAGUAAAAUCCAUGAGUAACGCAGCUAACGCGUGAAGUAGACCGCCUGGGGAGUACGGUCGCAAGAUUAAAACGUCAAAGGAAUUGACGG
rnacentral:rRNA from 1 species